rnacentral:lncRNA from 1 species
ACCAAUAUAUACCACUCUUAAUGGCUUCCCAUUAAACUUUGAGUAAAGACUUUAUGGAGCCUACAUAAGGCCAUGACUACCUGGCUCUUAUUUUCCUCCUCAUCCUCAUCUCACCAACUCACUCUCCACUCCUAUACCCCUCACUCCUUCCCCCUCCUCUCUCUGAGCUCCAGACUCCCAAUUACCUACUUCCACCCUUUUUGACCCCCAGGGACUUAUCUCAGCCUGGAAUUUUCCCUCUUUGCUCUCCACUGAACUGUCCACUCCCAGUCUAAGACAUGUGCUUAUGUCACACGCCCUUACCGUGCUUAUCUCAGUUUGUAAUUAUCUACUCAUUUAGAAAAGUGUUGAUGAAGGUCUUCACUGUCAGCUUUCAGGAUAGCAGGAAUCAUAGCUGAUUUUACUUACUUAACGGGGUUUCAUUCUUUGUAACUUUUUUUUUUUUUG